rnacentral:rRNA from 1 species
GAGUUUGAUCCUGGCUCAGGAUGAACGCUAGCGGGAGGCUUAACACAUGCAAGUCGAGGGGUAACAUUGGAGCUUGCUUCAGAUGACGACCGGCGCACGGGUGAGUAACGCGUAUGCAACCUACCUCAAACAGGGGGAUAGCUCAGGGAAACCUGGAUUAAUACCCCAUAAUAUUUAGAUUUGGCAUCAGAUUUAAAUUAAAACUCCGGUGGUUUGAGAUGGGCAUGCGUGACAUUAGCUAGUUGGUAAGGUAAUGGCUUACCAAGGCUACGAUGUCUAGGGGUUCUGAGAGGAUGAUCCCCCACACUGGUACUGAGACACGGACCAGACUCCUACGGGAGGCAGCAGUGAGGAAUAUUGGUCAAUGGGCGCAAGCCUGAACCAGCCAUCCCGCGUGUAGGAAGACUGCCCUAUGGGUUGUAAACUACUUUUAUAAAGGAAUAAUUGUCUCUACGUGUAGAGAUUUGAAUGUACUGUAUGAAUAAGGAUCGGCUAACUCCGUGCCAGCAGCCGCGGUAAUACGGAGGAUUCGAGCGUUAUCCGGAUUUAUUGGGUUUAAAGGGUCCGUAGGCGGUCUUUUAAGUCAGUGGUGAAAUCCCAGAGCUCAACUCUGGAACUGCCAUUGAAACUGAAAGACUUGAAUAUGGUUGAGGUAGGCGGAAUACGUUAUGUAGCGGUGAAAUGCAUAGAUAUAACGUAGAACACCAAUUGCGAAGGCAGCUUACUAAACCAUUAUUGACGCUGAUGGACGAAAGCGUGGGGAGCGAACAGGAUUAGAUACCCUGGUAGUCCACGCCGUAAACGAUGAUUACUCGUUGUGCACAAUACACCGUGCGUGACUGAGCGAAAGCAUUAAGUAAUCCACCUGGGGAGUACGUUCGCAAGAAUGAAACUCAAAGGAAUUGACGGGGGCCCGCACAAGCGGAGGAACAUGUGGUUUAAUUCGAUGAUACGCGAGGAACCUUACCUGGACUUAAAUGUAGAUUGACCGGUUUAGAAAUAGAUCUUUCCUUCGGGACAAUUUACAAGGUGCUGCAUGGUUGUCGUCAGCUCGUGCCGUGAGGUGUCGGGUUAAGUCCCAUAACGAGCGCAACCCCUAUCGUUAGUUGCUAGCAGGUAAUGCUGAGGACUCUAGCGAGACUGCCACCGUAAGGUGAGAGGAAGGUGGGGAUGACGUCAAAUCAGCACGGCCCUUACGUCCAGGGCUACACACGUGUUACAAUGGCCGAUACAAAGGGCAGCUACCAGGUGACUGGAUGCUAAUCUCGAAAGUCGGUCUUAGUUCGGAUCGAAGUCUGCAACUCGACUUCGUGAAGCUGGAUUCGCUAGUAAUCGUAGAUCAGCAACGCUACGGUGAAUACGUUCCCGGGCCUUGUACACACCGCCCGUCAAGCCAUGGAAGCUGGGGGUACCUGAAGUCUGUCACCGCAAGGAGCGGCCUAGGGUAAAACUGGUAACUGGGGCUAAGUCAAAACAAGGUAGCCGUACCGGAAGGUGUGGCUGGAUCACUCCUUUC